rnacentral:rRNA from 1 species
GACGAACGCUGGCGGCGUGCCUAACACAUGCAAGUCGAGCGGGGUUGAAGCGAGGGGUAACUCGGACUUCUACCUAGCGGCGGACGGGUGAGUAACGCGUGGGCAACCUGCCUCAAGGUUUGGGAUAACAGCUCGAAAGGGCUGCUAAUACCGGAUAUGCCUAUGGCCUCGCAUGGGGCUAUGAGCAAAGGGGAAACCCGCCUUGAGAUGGGCCCGCGUCCCAUCAGCUAGUUGGUGAGGUGAAGGCUCACCAAGGCGACGACGGGUAGCCGGCCUGAGAGGGUGACCGGCCACACUGGGACUGAGACACGGCCCAGACUCCUACGGGGGCAGCAGUGGGGGAUCUUGCACAAUGGGCGAAAGCCUGAUGCAGCGACGCCGCGUGAGCGAAGAAGGCCUCGGUUGUAAGACUCUGUUUUAGGGUACGGAAGUAGUCGAGAGCAGUAAUAAUGGUUCUUCGAAUGACGGUACCCGUAACGAGGAAGGACCCGGCCGUAACUACGUAGCCAGCAGCCGCC